GUCUGCGGCCAUGCCACCCUGAACGUGCCCGAUCUCUCCUGAUCUCGGAAGCUAAGGAGGGUCAGGCCUGCUUGGUACUUGGAUGGGAGACCACCUAGAAAUACCAGGUGCUGCAGGCA
ensembl:rRNA 5S_rRNA 5S ribosomal RNA